rnacentral:rRNA from 1 species
UCCUACGGGGCGCAGCAGUGGGGAAUAUUGCACAAUGGGGGAAACCCUGAUGCAGCGACGCCGCGUGAAGGAAGAAGUAUCUCGGUAUGUAAACUUCUAUCAGCAGGGAAGAAAAUGACGGUACCUGACUAAGAAGCCCCGGCUAACUACGUGCCAGCAGCCGCGGUAAUACGUAGGGGGCAAGCGUUAUCCGGAUUUACUGGGUGUAAAGGGAGCGCAGGCGGCGCGGUAAGUCUGAUGUGAAAGCCCGGGGCUCAACCCCGGGACUGCAUUGGAAACUGUCGUGAUGGAGUGUCG